rnacentral:sRNA from 1 species
GGCAUUGGCCUCCCACCCAACUCACCAUUGACCUCCAACAUAUCCGAGCUAAUCAGUCAAUACAAGUCACAUGGGUUUAUGGAUAUGCUCCAUGACAAGUGGUACAGAGUGGUUCCCUGUGGCAAGAGAAGUUUUGCUGUCACGGAGCUCAGUGUCUGAGUGGGAAAAAGUGAAGAUGCUUUAUACAAACCAUUAGACUGCACUUAAAACAGAUCUUUAUGGAAACAAUGGAUCAAAUACUUCUUGAAAAAAGAAAAGAGUCUUCCUCUAUUGUUCCCAGCAAGAAGUAAUUUCUCAAUUCUCUGAGUUCUUAUAGUUCUUUUCCCUUACCUCUCUGAUGACAUGUUUUGUUGUUCAUCUUGUAUUAUUAAUUAUAAUUCUUUAAUGCCUCAAUUCACUCACUGAUCAGUAAGCUUUCUGAGCAAAGACCAUCUCUGAAUGUCCCAAUGCUUUACAUGUUAAAACAUGAUUGAAUAAAUGAUGCCCUAUAAAGAAUAA